rnacentral:lncRNA from 1 species
UGACAAACAUAAAUAAAAAUAAAUAUUUAUGCAAAUUAAAACUAACCAUCUCGUGACUUAACUCUCUUGAAUGGAACGCUUAACAAAUAUAUUUCAUGGAAUGCACAUUCGUCUAGAGGACCGAUAAGAAAUAUUAUUCGUGAAAAAAGCUUUUCAUGUGUUAUAAAUGUACUAUGCUUUAUCACUGUCUGAGACCUAGAUCAAUGUAAGUACACAUCUACCGAAUGUAUAACUGAUAUAAAUUACAACAAAAACGUGAUCAGAAAAUGAACAUGUAAAUAAAUGCAUGGGACACAUUGCAAUAGUUCAAUUCUCUUAAAGAUAAAUGACAAUUAUUGCAAAUGCAAAGCACCAGAAUGCAAGUACUUAAAAUUAAAAUAAUACCGCUAGAACUACAGAAGAUAUCGGAACGUAAAAACAUGAAUAUUCAUAGAAAAAGAGAAGCUGAAGAUACGAAAGGGACAUAACAACUAUUAAGUCGGAAAUAAUCUAAACGGGAAAAACACAACAAGAGACAACCAACAGUACACAAAUCAAAUAUAGAAAACGCAACUUAAACUCCAC